UAGGGGGCAAGCGUUAUCCGGAUUUACUGGGUGUAAAGGGAGCGCAGGCGGUUCUGCAAGUCUGGUGUGAAAGCCCGGGGCCCAACCCCGGGACUGCAUUGGAAACUGCGGGACUUGAGUGUCGGAGGGGCAAGUGGAAUUCCUAGUGUAGCGGUGAAAUGCGUAGAUAUUAGGAGGAACACCAGUGGCGAAGGCGGCUUGCUGGACGACAACUGACGCUGAGGCUCGAAAGCGUGGGGAGCAAA
rnacentral:rRNA from 1 species